rnacentral:lncRNA from 1 species
CCAUCUAGGAAAGUCUUUGCCAUAAAAUAUUUCAAAAUUAGGAUUAGGUAAAGAUGGAAUACUAUUUGGUAUUGAUGUAGAAGCCAUUGAGACAACUAUCUUCAAAUUGUUAGAACAAUAAUGAUAAUUGUACAAGAAAUUCAAAAUAAACUUGCUUGGCUUAAAGGCACGAUAAUACGCUUCUUGAAGAUAGUUGAAGUCUCUCCCACG